CCUCUAGAGGGAAGCGCUUUCUGUCGUCUGAGAGAGAAGAAAGUGCAUCCUUUUAGAGGAU
rnacentral:pre_miRNA from 1 species